rnacentral:lncRNA from 1 species
CUAAUUAAGGCCUACUAACUGUAUGACUACUGGCUAAUUAAGGCCUACUAACUGUAUUACUACUGGCUAAUUAAUUAAGGCCUACUAACUGUAUUACUACUGGCUAAUUAAGGCCUACUAACUGUAUUACUACUGGCUAAUUAAGGCCUACUAACUGUAUUACUACUGGCUAAUUAAUUAAGGCCUACUAGCUGUAUUACUACUGGCUAAUUAAGGCCUACUAACUGUAUUACUACUGGCUAAUUAAGGCCUACUAACUGUAUUAAUACUGGCUAAUUAAGGCCUACUAACUGUAUUACUACUGGCUAAUUAAGGCCUACUAACUGUAUUACUACUGGCUAAUUAAGGCCUACUAACUGUAUGACUACUGGCUAAUUAAGGCCUACUAACUGUAUUAAUACUGGCUAAUUAAGGACUAUUAACUGUAUUACUACUGGCUAAUUAAGGCCUACUAACUGUAUCCCACUGGCUCAGUAAGGCGAACUAACUGUAUGACUACUGGUUAAGUAAGGCCUACUAACUGUAUUAAUACUGGCUAAUGAAGGCCUACUAGCUGUAUUACUACUGGCUAAUUAAGGCCUACUAACUGUAUUAAUACUGGCUAAUUAAGGCCUACUACUGGCUAAUUAAGGCCUACUAACUGUAUGACUACUGGUUAAGUAAGGCCUAUUAACUGUAUUACUACUGGCUAAUUAAGGCCUACUAACUGUAUUAAUACAUUGCUAAUUAAGGCCUACUAACUGUAUGACUACUGGCUAAUUAAGGCCUACUAACUGAAUGACUACUGGCUAAUUAAGGCCUACUAACUGUAUUAGUACUGGCUAAUUAAGGCCUACUAACUGUAUGACUACUGGCUAAUUAAGGCCUACUAACUGUAUUAAUACUGGCUAAUUAAGGCCUACUAACUGUAUUAGUACUGGCUAAUUAAGGCCUACUAACUGUAUUACUACUGGCUCAGUAAGGAACACUAACUGUAUUCCUAUCACAAUAAAUAUGAUUUACUCCUACCUUCGUAUUGCUCUCUGUCUCAUCC